rnacentral:rRNA from 1 species
CAGCAGCCGCGGUAAUACGUAGGGUCCAAGCGUUAAUCGGAAUUACUGGGCGUAAAGCGUGCGCAGGCGGUUGUGCAAGACCGAUGUGAAAUCCCCGAGCUUAACUUGGGAAUUGCAUUGGUGACUGCACGGCUAGAGUGUGUCAGAGGGGGGUAGAAUUCCACGUGUAGCAGUGAAAUGCGUAGAGAUGUGGAGGAAUACCGAUGGCGAAGGCAGCCCCUGGGAUAACACUGACGCUCAUGCCACGAAAGCGUGGGGAGCAAACAGGAUUAGAUACCCUGGUAGUCCACGCCCUAAACGAUGUCAACUAGUUGUUGGGGAUUCAUUUCCUUAGUAAC